rnacentral:lncRNA from 1 species
GAGAUAAUUUGAUUAAUGUUUGUUGAGCGUUAGAACUUCCAAAGAAAAUUGAAAUGUAUAGGUAAUAAAUUAUUCUGGGAAUUUCUUAUUCUUGGGACUUUUUCUAAAUGUCUGCAUUUUAAACACUUCUGACUCAUUUAUAAACAUUGGUUGCCCUCAUUGAAUUUUCAAUUGUUUAAUAGUUUAGAGGGCAAUACGUUCAAUGCACUCAUUACAUCCAGAAUGUGUAGCAACUUCAAACCAGAGUGACAGUGUAAGGGCAGAUGAGAAGGUGGUCAUCCAGGGGUGAUGGUGACCACAUUCUGAUGGGGCUUUUGGUGGGGGAAAAUCCUUUAAGGUUUUUAAAAGAAUGGUUCCAAAGCUGCCAGAAUAGUUACCUUAAAAAAUCAGAGUUCAGGCCGGGCGCAGUGGCUCACACCUGUAAUCCCAGCACUUUGGGAGGCCAAGGCGGGCAGAUCACCUGAGGUCAGGAGUUCGAGACCAGCCUGGCCAGCAUGGUGAAACCCCGUCUCUACUAAAAUUACAAAAAUUAGCUGGAUGUGGUGGCAGGUGGCUGUCACCCCAGCUACUCGGGAGGCUUGAGAAUCGCUUGAGCCCAGGAGAAGGAGGUUGCAAUGAGCUGAGAGUGCACCAUUGCACUCCAGCCUGGGUAACAGAGUGAGGCCCUGUCCCAAAAAAAAAAAAAAAAAAGCAGAGUUCAGCUCCCAGGAAUCACCCCUUGCAGACUGAUUUCAAUUAUUCAACUGUCAUUUACUGGGCACCAGUAUGUCCCAAGCUCUUGUCUAGGAGAGGACUCAAUAGUGACAAGAGAGACAAGGACUCUGUUCUCAUAGAGCUUGGAUUCCAGACUAAUGUAACAUGUCACCGCACAAGUGUCACUGCAGGAAGAGCGCUAAGCUCUGACCCGGAGUCCCCCAUCUUGGUCAACCCCACUGGCCUCAGCUUAAUCUGCAGGGACAGUUCCUCUGCUGCUUAGAACUGAACAGCCAUUCCUAUUGUCCUUGAAAUUCUGGAAUAAAUUUUUUCUUUGGCGCUCUCCCAUAGGCAUUUUGGGAUUUGGGUACCUUAAUGGUAUAUUAGUAUUUAACCAAUUUUCAUUCUAUGUAUAAUUUUCUCACAAAUGUCAUGUCAUCUCACUAAUCAAAAUGUUUCUCCAGUUUACAAUGUAACUGCCAUUAUUAAUUUCACUGCAUGGGUUUGUUGUUUUGUUUUAUUUUGGUUUUGAGACAGGGUCUCACUCUGUCACUCAGGCUGGAGUACAGCGGUGCGAUCUCAGCUCACUACGACUUCCGCCUCCUGGGCUCAAGCGAUUCUCCCACCUCAGCACCCCAGAGUAGCUAGGACCACAGUAUAUGAAAAAGACAUUACAAACUUCUUGUUUGUAGAAAAGAACCACAGAAUUCUCAUUCACUGCUGGUGGAAAUGCAACAUGGAACAACCACUUUGGAACAGUUCAGCAGUUUUUUAUAAGGUUAAAUAUACACAUACCAUAACUCCUAGGUAUUUACCCAAGAGAAAUAAGAUAUAUGUUCAUACAAUGACUUGUACUCAGAUGUUCACAAUAGUGUUAUUUCUAAUAGCCACAAACUAGAAACAAUCUUAAGUUUCCACCAACUGGAGAAUAGAUAAAUAAAUUGUGGUAUAUCCAUGUACUGAAAUACAGUCAUGCACUGCAUAAAGACAUUACAUAUAUGCAACAGUGGUCCCAUAAGAUUAUAAUGGAGCUGAAAAAUUCCUAUUGCCUAGUAUUUACAAUAUUAUACUUUGUAUCAUUUAUUUUAGAGUGUAGAGUGUAUCAUCUAUUUUAUAAGUAAAGUCCUUCUACUUAUUUAAAAAAAAAAAAGUUAACUGUACACCAGCCUCAGGCAGGUCCUUCAGGAGGUAUUUCAGAAGAAGGCAUUGUUAUUAAAACAGAUGACAGUCCCAUGGGUGUUAUUGCCCCUGAAGACCACCCACUGGGACAAGAUGUGGAGGUGGAAGACAGUGAUACUGAUGAUCCUGACCCUGUGUAGGCCUAGGCUAAUAUGUGUGUUUGUGUCUUAGUUUUUAAUAAAAAGUUUAUUAAGG